CAUUACCGAGUUUACAACUCCCAAACCCCUGUGAACAUACCAAUUGUUGCCUCGGCGGAUCAGCCCGCUCCCGGUAAAACGGGACGGCCCGCCAGAGGACCCCUAAACUCUGUUUCUAUAUGUAACUUCUGAGUAAAACCAUAAAUAAAUCAAAACUUUCAACAACGGAUCUCUUGGUUCUGGCAUCGAUGAAGAACGCAGCAAAAUGCGAUAAGUAAUGUGAAUUGCAGAAUUCAGUGAAUCAUCGAAUCUUUGAACGCACAUUGCGCCCGCCAGUAUUCUGGCGGGCAUGCCUGUUCGAGCGUCAUUUCAACCCUCAAGCCCCCGGGUUUGGUGUUGGGGAUCGGCGAGCCCUCGCGGCAAGCCGGCCCCGAAAUCUAGUGGCGGUCUCGCUGCAGCUUCCAUUGCGUAGUAGUAAAACCCUCGCAACUGGUACGCGGCGCGGCCAAGCCGUUAAACCCCCAACUUCUGAAUGUUGACCUCGGAUCAGGUAGGAAUACCCGC
rnacentral:rRNA from 1 species